GUGCCACCUCCAGCGAGCCGGUUCCCUUCUCUCAGAGUCUCUGCGACUGCGUCGGAGUUCCGUCCGCGCAAAUGCGCAGCUACAUUUAAAACCUUCCCAGUAUGCGAGAGGGAAACCUUAGUCUUCUCGAGGGUCAGCAAGUCCGGAACAACGCCCUCUUGCCACUUUGCCUUAAAACGGCUGCUCAAUCGAGAGCGUUGGCAACAGGGCGCAGCGUCCGAGGUUCGCCAACUACCCAGAAGCCUGACUGUUGCGUGUGUAUGUGUCUUUUGCGGCCGGCAAACGUCUGGCAAACUUACCUCAACGCGCCUUCCGUCUCAGUUCAAAGCACUGCCGGCGCGUCUGAAUAAGAAAGCGUGUAGCGGCUCUUAACGGUAGCUAGGCGUUCUGCCAUACCUCUGAAGCAGAAAGAGUAGCCACAGACUGGCACUGAUAAGUCGAUUCGGGUGGUAGCAGUUUUUUCGAGAGAUUUUUAUUUGUUUCCUACACACGCUUCGUCACGAAUUCACCACGGCAUGAAAAACCUUCCCACGAGC
rnacentral:lncRNA from 1 species